GACGAACGCUGGCGGCGUGCUUAACACAUGCAAGUCGAACGGAAAGGCCCUGCUUGCAGGGUACUCGAGUGGCGAACGGGUGAGUAACACGUGGGUGAUCUGCCCUGCACUUCGGGAUAAGCCUGGGAAGCUGGGUCUAAUACCGGAUAGGAGCCAUUUUUAGUGUGAUGGUUGGAAAGUUUUUUCGGUGUAGGAUGAGCUCGCGGCCUAUCAGCUUGUUGGUGGGGUAAUGGCCUACCAAGGCGGCGACGGGUAGCCGGCCUGGGAGGGUGGACGGCCACAUUGGGACUGAGAUACGGCCCAGACUCCUACGGGAGGCAGCAGUGGGGAAUAUUGCACAAUGAGCGCAAGCCUGAUGCAGCGACGCCGCGUGGGGGAUGACGGCCUUCGGGUUGUAAACUCCUUUCGCUAGGGACGAAGCUUUUUGUGACGGUACCUAGAUAAGAAGCACCGGCUAACUACGUG
rnacentral:rRNA from 1 species